ensembl:lncRNA
UGAAUUACAGUGGCUUCCUUAAGACUUUUGUCCCCUUUUAUCUAGAUCUGCAGGUUCAGACCUUGGUACCAGCCUUUCCGUGCAACUUGACACUCCUUCCCUGCUUUCUCAGCCUUCAUUUAUUCUUUCAACCAACCCCUGCAUCACCAGCACCGGCACCAGCUAUAGCAUGGUACCAUCUCCACCUUCUUACCACAAGUCCUUGAUCCCUGUUCACCCCAGCGCCAUCAGCUCCACAACCAGUGUCGUGUCUGCCAGAGAAGACCAAACACCCUCUACCUCCACCAGUCACCCUUCGGCGUUCGCUGCCCUCCAUGUGAGAAAUGCGCCUGUUCCCUCAAAACAGAGCACCCAAAGACUUGUUAUUUCUGAGGCAUCCAACAGUGUGGCUUCUGGAGGGUCAGUGGGACGGUACAGCAAUAGUGGGACUUCAGGAAGCAAUAUUGGUCUUGCUCUCUUUGGCGUGGGGCUUGGUAGCAAAGCAUUGUUUCAAAGUUUAAUGGAAGAAAAUGGCUGCUGUUUGCUUUACAUUGUGGAGGAUCAGUUGCCAGAUGUGGAACGUGCCUUCAAUACAGAAUUCCUGGCCAACACCAGGGUGCUACGGCAACAGGAUGCGGACAUAGUGCUCAAUGAUCAACGUGUCUCUGGAGCCAUUGUCUGUUCACCACCUGAAGCAGCCUCUGAAAUUGUGAUAGAUGCUUUACGAGCAGGUGGGAUUUUCUAUAAUGCUGCUGUACAUGAUAUUGAUAUUAUCAGUUUGUUGCUGGGAGAAAGUGCACCAGAUACAAUAUUUUCACUGGGACAUGCAUUCUGUGCAGAUAUGGCCUACUUGAAGGAUGCAGACACUGUAGCAGUCAGCAUGAAAUUUCCUAGUGGAGCAAUUGUUACUUUGGACGUGAGUCAGCACUGUACUAAAAGCUGUGAUCAGAGACUAGAGGUUCAUGGUUCUCAAGGAACAUUACGGGUAGAUAAUCAGAAUCCCUUGGGAAUUACAGAACAUGGAACGUCUGUGUCCAUAUAUUCACAAACCCAGGCUGAUCGGUACAAAGAAGCAUACAGAGAACUCUUUAGACACUUUCUCAGAACCCUCAAAGGCAAAGAACCCCCUGUUAUCACCAAAGAGCAGUUUCUCUGGACGAUUCAGGUAGCUGCAGCUGCUGAACAGUCUUGGAGGAACGGAUCUGCUGUGGACUUGCGCAAUGAAGCAAUAGACGUGUCUCUAAUCAAGACUGAAAUAAUGUGACACACACUGCUGUUUGAAGUGAAGGCUAUUCCCUGAGCUCUGCUAAAGGGAGUGAAGUCUCUCUUCAUCUAGUGAGGUUUCCACUGUUGACUUAAUACAAAACUAAACAACCUUUUUUAUUUUUUUAUUUUUCUUUACAUUUUCACUGGAAACACCUAUAACUCAGAUACCUUUUAGAACUACAGGAGUGUUCAGUACUGGUGUUCCCGAUGAUUCUUAGGACAUCAUUCAGGACUCGGAGAAGAAAUUAUGGGAGGCUUUGUCUACAGUGGCAUUUCCUUUUUGAAGGAGUUACUUUCAGGUUCUGAAAUACUGUUUUUCUGAUAGUGGAUUUCCCAGACACUAAUCAUGAUAAGAUAAUGACGUACUGACAACCUGCUGUUGUAGUGAAGACUGUGCAAUGAACAUCUUGAAUGGCAGCUUGAAAAUGAGGUGCAAUCAUGGUAUUCAAAAUAAGAGCAUCCAUUUGAUCCAUACUAUACAUCUCAUUAGUAUAUGCAGGAAUGUGAUUUGUCUACUAAAUACCCCUCUUCUGAGUCCCCCAUCUAUAGAACUGUCCAUGUUGUUCUUAAUUCAUUGCUGUGGAUUUGAAAUAACAUAGCUGAGGAGUUGUGAGCGUCUAACUUUUUGAAAAUGAGCAGGCAGGGAGACUUCUUACCAACCUGGCUCUAGAGUGUAAUGAAAGAAACUUGGAAGGCAUGCUAUAAAUUGGACUUUUUCACAGAGCAAACCAUGCACUUGGGCAUUUCUAUAUGAACGCUGCAUCAGUGUUAAAAAAAAUAAAGGUUUCUUUUAGAACA